GCUUUACGAAUGUUCAACAAAGCAGAGAGAAAAAGGAAGAGAAAAAUAUCUAAUAGCAAUAAUAUACAUUACUUCCUCUGCAACAACUUGUGUUGGUAUAAUACUCUGCAACUGCUUCGUUCUUGUCCCUAAUAAAGGUUAUCUCUCUAUAACUUUUACAUUUUUAUAACACUACUAAUAAUCAUAUCCUUUCUAGCUAAUUACGACAAACACUAUCACUAAGCAUUAAGCUCGGAUGAAAAUCCGAAAUUUGACAGGAAUUCAAAACUUAUUCAACAAAAGAAUCAUAAAUUUGAGACGAAAAUUCUGAAUUUCAAUUCAAUUACAAAAGAUCGAAUUUCAAAUAGUAAAUCCUAAUACAAAGCACUGUUUAAAUAGUAAAACCUCAAGCAAACCCUAAUAAACAAAAUAACGAAAAUACCCUAACAAAGAAAAUACCCAAAACAACAACUCAAAUAAAAAUCUUAAAUUCCAACAAUAUAUACAUAUAUAUUGUCCCUCAAUUUCUUUGAACUCAAUUAACACCUCAAACAUGUGCCUAAUAUUUUGUAAAGAUAAUCUAUGAAGUGCAUCUUGAAAAAUAAAAAGUUCGGAUCGUUGAGUUCAAAAUGUAUAUAAAUGCAUUGAUGCGAAAUUUUUUUUAACACACAAAUUAAACCCUCUUGUUGUCAAAUUGUAGUAUAAAUGCAAGUAGGGAUCGUUCUAAACUGGGGAUUAUGAGGGCUUGCUAAAACCUCUAAACUAACUUGAAAACAUAUAAACAAAGUUAAAAACACUAAACUAGACUCAAAGAACUUAAAACAAACUCAAAGGACUCAAAACAAGCUAAAAAUGCUCAAAUCUGCCUAAAAACACAAACUGGGUAGAUUUGGUCUCUAACACACUUUUGGGACACCUAAAAACAUAAAUCAAAACAAAUUUUGACUAAUAAAACACUUUAAAGUAAAGGGGGUUUUGGUUUUGACGAAUUUGAAAACAAAACAAGUAAAUUAAAGAACUAAUGAAAUCUGCACGAAUUUGAGUAAAUUGAAUGGAUGGAAGGUUAGCUAGGAGGUUCUUCUCCACACAUGACAUACUUGCACAUAAACCAAUUUUCAGUUGUUCUUUCGAUCAAUCAUGAAACUCAAAACCCCAGGUUAAUUAAGUCCGCUUAAAUUAACCUUCAAAUUCUCCUUAAGUUAUUGAAUUGGAUGGGAAAACGCAUACAACAAUUCAAGCAUUCUUCAAAAGUUCUUUACGUGAACAGCAUAAUAAAGAUACAAUCAAAGAUCAUUAAGCAUUAUGAAAACUAUAAGUAUUGACGAGGCACUCGUUAUUAUGAUGAGCAUGAAACUCCUGCCAAGAAUUUAUUUAACGCGAUCGUUUAUAAGCGACCUCCAUUACUUGUGAAUAUAAGUUUGUAACUAUUAGGUGAAACUCCCUUAUACUCUAGCAUCAUAUUCAUUUAUGCAAACUAAGUGUGCACUCUUAAUAAACAUACACGAAUAAGUUAUCAAUCAAGCAGUUAAACAAAUUGAAUUCACAACUUAUGAAAUCGCAACUGAAGGUAAUCACAUCAUAUUGCAAGCAUGAACAUGGUUUCAAAUUCCCCCCUAGCUAAAGGGGUUUAGUUCCUCAUACUCACAAAGCAAAGAUAAACAAAU
rnacentral:lncRNA from 1 species